UACGUGGGGUGCAAGCGUUAAUCGGAAUUACUGGGCGUAAAGCGUGCGCAGGCGGUUUGUUAAGACGGAUGUGAAAUCCCCGGGCUCAACCUGGGAACUGCAUUCGUGACUGGCAGGCUAGAGUAUGGCAGAGGGGGGUGGAAUUCCACGUGUAGCAGUGAAAUGCGUAGAGAUGUGGAGGAACACCGAUGGCGAAGGCAGCCCCCUGGGCCAAUACUGAUGCUCAUGCACGAAAGCGUGGGGAGCAAACAGG
rnacentral:rRNA from 1 species